rnacentral:lncRNA from 1 species
GUAGCUGCAUGCCAAGAAUAUGGAUAUAAAAAUAAAUCCCAAGCCUGGGAAUUUCAGAGCAGCUUGGAGAUGCAAAGCAGUCCCAUGGCCGUAAUGAUUAAACUGUCUUCCAUUUGUUAUUUAUUUCAUUUUAUUUAUUUUGACUGAUUGUUCACCACCAGUCGGGAACCCUGGAGUCGCUAGUGGGUCUGGACCCUGACCACGGCCUUUCCCAAAAGAGAUAUAUGUCACACUUUGGAAUUUCACUUCUCAUGCAGGCAUGAAGUUAUUCUGUCACCAAUUAGAAUCCACAAAGUGAAUUCCUUGCAGAAGAUACCAUGGAGAUGUCUACAGACCACAUACUGCUCCAGGAGAUCCUGAACAAAUCUUCUGAUGUGCAAAAUUGAACUUUUGAGGGGUUGAAUAUAU